UACAGAGGUCUCAAGCGUUGUUCGGAUUCAUUGGGCGUAAAGGGUGCGUAGGUGGCGCGCUAAGUCAGGUGUGAAAUUUCGGAGCUUAACUCCGAAACUGCAUUUGAUACUGGUGUGCUUGAGGACUGGAGAGGAGACUGGAAUUCAUGGUGUAGCAGUGAAAUGCGUAGAGAUCAUGAGGAAGACCAGUGGCGAAGGCGGGUCUCUGGGCAUCUCCUGACGCUGAGGCGCGAAAGCGUGGGGAGCAAACGGG
rnacentral:rRNA from 1 species